rnacentral:tRNA from 1 species
UCCCCUGUAGCUCAAUCUGGCAGAGCAUUCGGCUGUUAACCGAAGGGUUAAGGGCUUUGAAUCCGCCAGCGGCGCGA